ACGGAGGAUGCAAGCGUUAUCCGGAUUUAUUGGGUUUAAAGGGUGCGUAGGUGGGCUGUCAAGUCCGUGGUGAAAAGUUCGCGCUCAACGCGGAUCGUGCCAUGGAAACUGGCGGUCUUGAAUAGGGGUGCCGUUGGCGGAAUGUGAAGUGUAGCGGUGAAAUGCAUAGAUAUUACACAGAACACCGAUUGCGAAAGCAGCUGACGAACCCUCGAUUGACACUGAGGCACGAAAGUGCGGGGAUCGAACAG
rnacentral:rRNA from 1 species